AAGCCCCAGUAAACGGCGGCCGUAACUAUAACGGUCCUAAGGUAGCGAAAUUCCUUGUCGGGUAAGUUCCGACCCGCACGAAAGGUGUAACGAUUUGGGCACUGUCUCAACGAGGGACCCGGUGAAAUUGAAAUACCUGUGAAGAUGCAGGUUACCCGCGACUGGACAGAAAGACCCCAUGGAGCUUUACUGUAACCUGACAUUGGGUUUUGAUACAUUACGUACAGGAUAGGUGGGAGGCUUGGAAAGCUGGACGCUAGUCUGGCUGGAGCCGACGUUGGGAUACCACCCUUGAUGUAUUGAAAUUCUAACCGCGAGAGUAACGAAAUCCGGGACAGUGUCAGGCGGGCAGUUUGACUGGGGCGGUCGCCUCCGAAAGAGUAACGGAGGCGCCCAAAGGUUCCCUCAGCGCGGCCGGAAAUCGCGCGAAGAGUGUAAAGGCAGAAGGGAGCUUGACUGCGAGUCAAACACGACGAGCAGGUACGAAAGUAGGGCUUAGUGAUCCGGUGGUACCGAGUGGAAGGGCCAUCGCUCAACGGAUAAAAGCUACCCUGGGGAUAACAGGCUAAUCUCUCCCAAGAGUCCAUAUCGACGGGGAGGUUUGGCACCUCGAUGUCGGCUCAUCACAUCCUGGGGCUGAAGUCGGUCCCAAGGGUUGGGCUGUUCGCCCAUUAAAGUGGUACGUGAGCUGGGUUCAGAACGUCGUGAGACAGUUCGGUCCCUAUCCAUCGCGGGCGCAAGAGAUUUGAAGGGGGCUGCUCCUAGUACGAGAGGACCGGAGUGGACGAACCGCUGGUGUACCAAUUAUCCCGCCAGGGGUACAGUUGGGUAGCUACGUUCGGAAAGGAUAAACGCUGAAAGCAUCUAAGCGUGAAACCAGCCUUAAGAUGAGAUCUCUCAUAGAGCAAUCUAGUAAGACACCUUAAAGAAGAUGAGGUUGAUAGGUCGGGAGUGUAAGUACAGCAAUGUAUUGAGCGGACCGAUACUAAUAUGUCGAGGGCUUGACUUA
rnacentral:rRNA from 1 species